rnacentral:rRNA from 1 species
AUUGAACGCUGGCGGCAGGCUUAACACAUGCAAGUCGAGCGGGGUGAUGGUGCUUGCACUAUCACUUAGCGACGGACGGGUGAGUAAUGCUUAGGAAUCUGCCUAUUAGUGGGGGACAACAUUUCGAAAGGAAUGCUAAUACCGCAUACGUCCUACGGGAGAAAGCAGGGGAUCUUCGGACCUUGCGCUAAUAGAUGAGCCUAAGGCGGAUUAGCUAGUUGGUGGGGUAAAGGCCUACCAAGGCGACGAUCUGUAGCGGGUCUGAGAGGAUGAUCCGCCACACUGGGACUGAGACACGGGCCAGAAUGCGACGGGAGGCAGCAGGGGGGAAUAUUGGACAAUGGGCGGAAGCCCGAUCCAGCCAUGCCGCGUGUGUGAAGAAGGCCUUAUGGUUGUAAAGCUCUUUAAGCGAGGAGGAGACUGCUUUAGUUAAUAACUAGGGAUAGUGGACGUUACUCGCAGAAUAAGCACCGGCUAACUCUGUGCCAGCAGCCGCGGUAACAC